CGCACUCCACUAACCGAGUUUUUAGCACUUUUUUGUGUGACUGGUUCGCUUUCUGGUUCACGCUAUCUCACUCUCGCCGUUUCUCACGGUGUGCUAGUUCACUUCACGCUACUACUAACACCAUUCGGUGCUUGCUACAACCACGGAACACUACUCAAGCGAACCUGCACUCCGCAAAGGGCCAGCUCACCAUCACAGCAAACAGUAAACAAACCUGGCGAGUUGGCGAGCGAACGGAACCACACUCCGUACGAACCGCCUUUACAAAACCGCCCCCAGGAUGCCUCCCUCAGGAAUGACUGUAAAAUGGGGUAUGCACAGAUGUAAACAGUGCGCGCGAUGGUAAUGAUGGUACACACCACCGGCUGUGCUCCGCGGAACGGAACGUGUGCGUAAUCCAAACACCGAGAUAAAACAAAAACGGUCGAUACGGUACGUUCGGUUCGCUUCGACACGGCGACAAACUGACAGCUGGCCACCAAUACCGGUGCACACGUUUCACGUUGGCCCAGUCUGUUAGGCCCUGCUACACUUGGGCUGUGGGUGCGAGAGCGAGCGAGCGAGAGAGCGUGAGCCGUGAGAUGAAGGAGUUAUACACUUCUCACUACUAGAACAAAUAUCUCACAGUCGUGGAAUAUCAUUCGCACUAUUAAGACUGAAAGUAUUGUAAGAAAAAAAAAUAAUUCAAAAUUUUUGUUAAAAAUGUUCUUUCUUAUUUUACAAACAACAUCACUCAACUCCAUUUUCCACUUUCAUCGAUUUUACUUUUUCCGUUUUUUGUUUUCAACAACUAAGUUUAUCAUCUUAAUAGGUUACGCGCAAUAAUAUUAUUCAUGCCAUAUUUAUAUUAUAUGCUUAUAUCAACUGUACGUGUCUGCAUGUUUCAUGAUGUUUACCUUUUCACUCUUCAUAUAGUUAAUAUGCCGGUGUGUGUGUGUUGCAUUCAUUCCUCAUUAUGCGUUACCGUUUUAUCCUUCCACCCGCCCUUCGAUAGUUUUGCAGCAUUAAUAUCUGUUUGAAGUUUUUUUGUGUCAGGUUUGAUUUAAGAUUUGAGUCAUGCUUCUUACAAUAUGGUUAGUAUUCGCCAGACAAAGCCGAAACGGAGUUCCACUGCCAAUAAUAUUUGUAUAUAUUUAUAGUGUUGUUAUUAUAAUUCAUCAUAUACGUUUGCUUCAUACUUUUGCACACACUCACAAAUCUUAACGAAUCUAAAACACGUCCUACUGCUAGGCGCACGGAACUAGGAAAAAUGAACAUUAACACAUAGAAAUGAUUGUGUGUUUGUGUGUGGUAUGGUUCGCAACUUGGCGCAUUAACUUAAUUCCUGCUAUUGGCGAAACUUUAUGAAACUUUAAAUUUCAAUAAUUUAUUGAAGUUGAACUAUGGAAUUUUUAUUUUGCUCCUUUUGCAGUCACUACAACAAGUGUUUCCAUAGUUUAAAACAAUCAGUAAUUUUGAAAUAACGCACAUUAUAAGCAUUCUACCCCUUGCUGUUAUAUCUCAACCCGCACAUUGUUUUAAACAUGUAGACACUUGUUUCAUGACCUAACAGACACUCUCUCUCUUGAACCAAGCCAAAAAACGCUAUAUGUCUUCUUGAAUUAAUAUCGAACGUGUGUUAUAAUUUCCCGUGCAUCAUGGGAUACAAUUUUGUGUUCUAAUACUCGUUGAUAGUAUUGCAGCCAAAAUGAACCGAGUGUGAUAACUAAAUCCGAAACGUCCUCUAAUACAACGGAAAAUCAUUCUACGACCUCAACCCUAAUAGCAUUGGAAUGGAUGGCGAAACGCGGGAUGGGGCAUUGAAAGGAUGGAGGGUUACAAUAUAUACAGAAGCAAUAAAUUUGGCGCAGACCAUUUAAGGCCUAUGCCGUCUCUUCCGGCACGGUGCACGGAAUCUAAAUAACUUCUCCUUUUUUUCGUUUGUCUCACCCUACCGGACAUUAGUGUGGUGACACUGAUCUGGACUGUUUGCACUGUUUGAAUGUCUGUGCCGUGUUGGGUGGUUCUCCUCUAUCGGCCCUACUCGUCGCCGCCGGUCAAGAGAUUCGUCCGCAACAUGUGUGUGUGUGUAUGUUUGCACUCGUGUAAUUAAUAGAUAGCGGUUUGUUCAGCACGACUCGCCGAUGCGAGGAGUUUGGUUUUGGCGCAGGAUCUUCAAGGUUCCCGCUUCGAUACAUGUAUAGAGAUAAGCCUGCCCGCGCGAGAGCGCUCUAGAGUAGCUUAGGGGUAAUGCUUUCUAUGCAUAUUAUAGUUUUACGCUUACACGAUACGGAUACGCCUUCGGGAACCCCCAGAACACACACACGCGCGCGUAUGUGUCCAUUAUGCACAUUGGAUUCGAUAAUAACACGGAUAAUUUGCUACGCACGCACGUAUGCACAUCAGUGCAUAUGCUCUCGGUGCUACUCUCCGUACAAUAAUAACGUCUUUUUUUGUGUAUUAAUGCACCCAGCAGUAAUGACCGCGCUGCUGGUGUUGGGGCUGGUGCAUCAUACAGUAGAACGUUCUGUUCCGAUCCGAUUUUGAAACGUGCGACUCUUUGUUUUAGCGCCAGUAAACAGACCAAACAAACAGUGUGUGAAAUCAAACGUAUAAUUUUCUCUACCACAACACAAACAAUCCCUGUCGCUAUCAUUUUGCUACAUUUGUCUAAAGGAAAACAGCCAAGUUUUGCGGCGUAAAAGAAAAAAAAA